UACGUAGGUGGCGAGCGUUAUCCGGAAUGAUUGGGCGUAAAGGGUGCGUAGGCGGCCUGCUAAGUCUGGAGUGAAAGGUACCGGCUCAACCGGUACAGGCUCUGGAAGCUGGCGGGCUAGAGAGCAGGAGAGGGCGGUGGAACUCCAUGUGUAGCGGUAAAAUGCGUAGAUAUAUGGAGGAACACCAGUGGCGAAGGCGGCCGCCUGGCCUGUUGACUGACGCUGAGGCACGAAAGCGUGGGGAGCAAAUAGG
rnacentral:rRNA from 1 species